CCUCACUCCCUUGCAGGCUGCAGAACCUUGCCUGAGAGUGCUUCCAUUAAAGCUUGCCUCAAGCCCUUUGCCUGGUGCCACCACCGAUUUGCCAAAACCUGGGAGGAGGUUGAGGCCACACUCCAGCGGGAGGCCUCCCUCCUCUCGUUACCAGGACCACAUCUGAGCCCCUCGCCUCAUGACACCAGGGUAUCGACACACCCUUGUCCUCAAUGCCGGAGGAUGGGCCACUGGAGAUCUGACUGCCCCGACAUCAGAGGGUCCCCAGCACCUCCAUGUGGAGGAAACUCUGAGCCAGUAAGUCCUGCCUUCCAUCUCCUUGGCCUGGAUAACAACUGACAGGGCCCCAAAUCGGAAACCCCUCUCACCCACGCCAAGACAGGGUCGUGCUCCAGGUAGCAGAUAGAGGUGGCACCUGCACGUUCCUGACAGAAGAAUGCUGUUACUACGUCAAUGAAACAACCCCUACGAUGCCUCUUACUCAGCAGCAAGUAGCCAGAUCUGAGUCGUCGCCCUAUAACAACAAAA